UUGAGCCGGAUGAGAGGAAACUCUCAUGUCCGGUUUUGAGGGGGGGGUCCAUAGGACCCUAUCCUAAU
rfam:Corchorus olitorius cultivar O-4 contig04166, whole genome shotgun sequence.